GUGUGUGUCAAGUGCCCAAGAUGAGCCCAGGCACGGGGCAGUCUACUUGAUUGCCCAGCUGAUGGUCACUCUCAUGGCCCAGCAUCACCCCAGGCCCGUGGCAGCCGCCUCCAUGUUAGCUGCAUUGGCUCAUUGAUCAACUGAUUGACUAGGGAGCGUGUCAGUAAACCCAUGAUCGUUCCUCCACUGUUCCCAUUGCAGAGAACAGUCUGGUUGUUGGAGAUGACAGGAGAAGGGAAAUAAGAAAUUAAUGAUUCAGGGAGAGAGGAGGGAGGGUAGCAGGAGGGAGCAGAGGAAGGUAGGAAAUCAUGGGGACAGAAAGUCAUGGGCACCACCGUGGCUGCCUCUUGAAAGAAUGGGCUGACAGGCACUGCUUCCUGGUCCCAGUUAUGAAAUCUGAGGGCUGGGAAGGGCCCAGAGACCCUGGACGCCUUCCUCAUCAGUGAGGUAAAGGGCUCAUGGCCCCAUGGGUGGUGAGGUGGGGGGACUGCGAAGCUGAGGGCAGCAUUGAGUUUUGGGGUCGGGGACAUAAUCCCAGGGGCAGUGGCCUGAGUCCUCACUUCACCCUGAUUGUCCUGUUUCCUUUCCCAAGACCAGGCCACGACAAUACCCACCGUCGUCCGUAAGGAAGACGACUUCACAGAUUGCGAAGACUCGGAUGCAUAGAUUUACCAUCCGCAUGGCCUACUCCAGGCAACCCGAUUGGAGCAAAAUCAUUCAUUUGAGAAGCAUCUUCGGAAAGGAGGAAGCCCAAUGGGCAGCACAUUUUGGAUGCUACGUUGAGGCCUCCAAAAGAAAUUCUCAAUCAAACCUCAAGCCCUCGUGGUCAUUUGGGUCAUUAGGAAACGCCAGUAUACUUAUUUUUCCCGAGAGUGGGUCUGGCUGAACAGUUUCAAGAACGAAGCAGAUGUUUCCUGCCUGGGUUAUCUAGAAAAACCUAUGUACCUAAACUGUGCUUAUAUCCAUGGCCACUAGUGUAUCAAUUCAUGGCCAAAGGAGCCCCAUGGGAAAGGUUUGUCGUGUCCCUUCUGCUCUGUGGUCACUCAGAAGAAUGAGAUCAAGACACAGGGUCAGUUGGGGGAGCUGGUGUCCAAGAUCAGGGAUCUGGAGUCCUGGGUUCUGGGACGCACGUCCAG
rnacentral:lncRNA from 1 species